rnacentral:rRNA from 1 species
AGCGAACGUUUGCGGCGGGCCUAAGACAUGCAAGUCGAACGAGAAGCUACCCGUUCGGGGUAGUGGAAAGUGGCGCACGGGUGCGUAACACGUGGGUAAUCAACCCUUUAGACUGGGACAACCCGGGGAAACUCGGGCUAAUACCGGAUGUGGUGUCGGGAACUUCGGUUCCUGCCAUGAAAGCUCCGCAAGGGGCGCUAGAGGACGAGCUCGCGGCCCAUCAGCUUGUUGGUGAGGUAAUGGCUCACCAAGGCUAAGACGGGUAGCUGGUCUGAGAGGAUGAUCAGCCACACUGGAACUGAGACACGGUCCAG